rnacentral:misc_RNA from 1 species
UCGUUGGGCUCCUGCCCAUUCGAGAUAACACCCUUGCCUUUUUGAGAUACCUUUUCGGUUUCCCUCGGCAGGCACGCCUGCCAACGGGGACCCUUCAAGACGCUUUGUAAUACCUGUCAUUGUCUGAUAUAACAAGCACAAAAAUCA